ensembl:lncRNA novel transcript
UGUGCCUCAUUGUUCUGAUUGCACAGACUUGGCUUAUAUCCCUGACAUGAACCCAAACACGAUGACCAGGCAGUGAAACAAGCAGGUUGACUUAACCUUGGUCGUACACCAAACCCUCGUAGAUUGAGAGAGAGUUAGCCUCAUGCUAAGCACAUAAGCUGAAUGUGGGGAAGUCAGCACACUGUGUUCCAAAAACAGAGAAUAGAUAAUGAGUGUCAAGGACAACAGAUGAAACCUCCGUGUAUUAUCUUUGUUUUGUCCAAAAUGUAAAACCUCAAAGGGAGACAGUUCAAGGUCUCAUUUAAUUAAUGUAUCCAUCUUCAAGUCUAAACUCUCUGAGGGAUGUGCACCCAGUGAGAUUAGGAUACAGGUCCCCAUGGUUCACUGAUCCAUGGCUAGUAAGUUUAACCAUCCCUACAUACCCACUGUGCAAUGGGGAGGAAGGACCCAGUACCUAUAACCAAAACACAUAUAGAAAGGAUGAGGGGGAGUGGAAAACAAUGCACAAUGAAUCCUACUUCAUAGUACACACCUAUCCCAUGGGCAGGAAAAGCAAUGACUCACUGCUCUGGCCAGACAAAGUCCAAUGUGGCUGACCUUGGCUCUGACCUCUUAAAUCAUUGCCCAUUUCCAUUUAUUUCCCCAUAGCUCCUGGUUCUCGUCUGUGGAAGGAUCCCCCCUUGAGUAUUGUCCUACUUAAGAGCUGGGUACUGAGGAUGAUGUCCUUUCAGGGAGCUGCACCUUUUUUGAAGCCCACUUCAUUUUGGUGUAUGUCAGGAGCCCUGAUAAUUAUUUUAGACGUUGACCAGAAACCUUUGGUGACUUAUCUCCUCUUCUCAGAAAUUUCACAUUCUAGGUUCAAGAGUUUCUAAUACAACAUUCCAGAAGUUAAUUUUAAUACAUGUAGUGCCCUUUUACUUGAAAAAGAUAAAAAGCUCAAAUCAAUCUGGCUUAAGCAAAAGGGGAAUUUUUUGGUGUAGAUAACCGAGAAGUCCAGGGAUAGCAUUGGCUUCAGGUAGAACUUGAUUUCAGCUGUGCACAAUGCAUGGUCUAUUGAUCUGCUUCCUCUAUGUCUAUUUCAUCCUCAGACUCCCUGUGGUGGCGACCAGUAUCUUCAAACUCAUACCAGAGUAAAGCCUUAUCCAUUUGGAGUUCUUUCUGAUGCAUUAUGUGAGGGGGUACAUGUGCAGUUUAUGUGAUUACACUGCAUGAUGCUGAGAAUGGGGUAUGGAUCCUGUCACGCAGAUAUUUUGGAUACAUCUGGAAUUGACUUUUUUGCAUGGUGUAAGAAAUAACAGUUCUUCCUGGAUCAGCCCUCUCCCGUCUGUCAUCUCCAACAGAUACAAAGCCAGCUUUAAGAAGACCAAACCUACAAAAAUCAUUCAUGCUUUCUGCCUCCAUGUUUUUCUUUCCAACCUAGUUCCUCCAGAAAAUGUAAAAGAGCAACCGAACCGUCAACUGGUACAAUGACUUCUACACAUCAGACCUCGGCCACGCCACAGUCAUCAGAUUAUUCUAUCACAGGGUCUCUCAACCGUGGAAUAUGGUCUCCAAGGGAAACAAGCCACAGAGGGCUCAGGAGCAUUGCUAUAAAGAGUAGGCAAAUGGAAAUCUUUCCCCAAAGGGCACACUGGGAUUGUUAGGCGAGGGCUGCUCAAUCCAUUAAAAGUUUAAACUCGAAAAAAAAAAAGAAAAAAAAAACCUUUUGAAAAAAUACAGAAAGCAACCUGUUCUAGAUUUUGUGUAUAAAAGAGAGUUUAUUCAGGGGACUGAAAUGUUGACAGUGAAUCAACUGGGAGGAUAUUUUCAAUCAGAACCGUCUGACUGACAGCUUUCAUAUUAUUAAUGCACAUACUAGGAGACAUCAAAUUUGAAGGGCAGGCAUUGUGCUAAGUCAGACUUCUACCUUAAAAUGCAUUACAUUUUGUCUGUAAAUCAAGGUCAGUUAUUAAAUUAAGGUGCUCUCAUCCCUAAAUACUUUAUUCCAUCAUCGUGUGUAAUUAAUCACAAACCCCUUACUUGGGGUUCUUUAGAAAGUGAUGAGCAAAACCCAUAAAAAAUUAAGAGAAAAAAUAACAGGUAUCUUUUAAAAAACAGGGAAUAAGUGCAAGGAAAUUUAAGUAUAAGUAAAAAAAUUUGCACGAUUCUUUAAAUAGAUAAUAGAUAUAAUAAUAAUAAUUUUGCAGCCCUACAAUUCCACAGCAUAUUAAUCUUUUCAAAUCUGUUAUUUUUCACCAUUAAAACAAUCAUGUAAAACAGGUGGAGUACUUCAAUAUUCCAAUUUCACAGAUGCAUACACUGAGUCAAGGAAAAGUUAAGUAUCUAUUAAGUCAUCCAGCUUACUGGAUAUGGAACUGAGACUUGAAAGCAUAUCUUCUAAAUCCGACCUCUUCUCUAAAGAUAGUGUCACCUUUCUCCAAAGAUAGUGUCAGGACAUAGAAAGCAGAAGUUAAACUGUAUGCGCUAUUCUGCCUUCCAUACUUAUUUUUCCCAAGAAGUAAUUUAAAAAACACAUUGGAGAUAAUGCUUGUGAAGCACUUUGCUAAAUGCUAAAUUGUCCGAACACUUUGGAAAAAAGUGGCAGUUUCUUAAAAAAUUAACAAAGAAUUACCAUAUGACCCAGCAAUUCCACUCCUAGCCAUGUACUGAGGAGAACUGAAAAUAUAUGUCCAUGUAAAAACUUAGAGUUAAAUAUUUGUAGCAGCUUUAUUUAAAAUAGCCAAAAAGUGGAAACAACCCCCCAAAAAUGUGCCUCAGUGAUGGAUGUAUAAAUAAAACA